rnacentral:rRNA from 1 species
GACGAACGCUGGCGGCGUGCUUAACACAUGCAAGUCGAACGGAAAGGCCCUGCUUUUGUGGGGUGCUCGAGUGGCGAACGGGUGAGUAACACGUGAGUAACCUGCCCUUGACUUUGGGAUAACUUCAGGAAACUGGGGCUAAUACCGGAUAGGAGCUCCUGCUGCAUGGUGGGGGUUGGAAAGUUUCGGCGGUUGGGGAUGGACGCGCGGCUUAUCAGCUUGUUGGUGGGGUAGUGGCUUACCAAGGCUUUGACGGGUAGCCGGCCUGAGAGGGUGAACGGCCACAUUGGGACUGAGAUACGGCCCAGACUCCUACGGGAGGCAGCAGUGGGGAAUAUUGCACAAUGGGCGGAAGCCUGAUGCAGCAACGCCGCGUGCGGGAUGACGGCCUUCGGGUUGUAAACCGCUUUCGCCUGUGACGAAGCGUGAGUGACGGUAAUGGGUAAAGAAGCACCGGCUAACUACGUG